rnacentral:rRNA from 1 species
AUGCGGCCGCGAGAUUUGGUAUCACGUUCUUCGGAUCAAUUCAAGGGAUCAAUGACGACGAUUGCAACUCCAUGGCGUUGUUACUUAGGGGCACAUGCAGAAAGACUUUAUGUUUGUUAUCGACAAGGUCAUGUCAACUUCUGUAUGGGAGCAGCGACAACGACGCGUCGAUGGCUCGUUCUGAUGGUGGCAAUGGUUGUUUGGUUCAAUAUGGAGAAGCCGCACUCCCAACCGUCCAAGCUACGUAUCCGCCUCGAGUACUACCUCAAAGGAACCGGCGCGCGCGACACGCCGUCCUCACCGUCUUCCAAAUGCUUCACUAAGGCGGAGGAGUGUCGCCGGGAGCAGCGCUAG